rnacentral:rRNA from 1 species
AUACGGAGGGUGCAAGCGUUACUCGGAAUCACUGGGCGUAAAGCGCGCGCAGGCGGCUUGAUAAGUUGGAUGUGAAAGCCUACGGCUCAACCGUAGAACUGCAUCCAAAACUGUCAAGCUAGAGUCUGGGAGGGGAAGAUGGAAUUAGUUGUGUAGGGGUAAAAUCCGUAGAGAUAACUAGGAAUACCAAAAGCGAAGGCGAUCUUCUGGAACAGUACUGACGCUGAGGCGCGGAAGCGUGGGGAGCAAACAGGAUUAGAAACCCCAGUAGUCC